rnacentral:misc_RNA from 1 species
CCCUCUCCUUGUUCCUCAAAUCCCCACCAUCAUCGCCGCCGGAGAGGGAGAGCAGAGACGGCGCCGACGAUGGCCGCCGGCACCGGAUCCCUAGCAGCUCUGUUGCUUCUCUUGUCCCUCUCCCACCAGGUGAUUGGGGUGAUCAACACAGAGGAUCGGAUCCUUCAGGAUUCGGUUGUUGAUGCUGUCAACGGAAACCCUGCGGCGGGAUGGCGGGCUGUGAAGAAUCCCCGGUUCACGAACUACACCGUUGGUCAAUUCAAACGUAUUCUUGGGGUGAAACCUCUUCCAGCCAAUGAUUUGGAGCAAGAUGAAAUACCAGUAAAAACUCAUUCUAAAUCUUUGAAGCUACCGAAGGAGUUUGAUGCAAGGACUAACUGGCCUCAAUGUAUCAAUAUUGGAAACAUACUUGACCAGGGUCAUUGUGGUUCUUGUUGGGCCUUUGGUGCAGUAGAAGCACUACAAGAUCGGUUCUGCAUUCAUUUUGGCAUGAACAUUUCCCUAUCGGUUAAUGAUCUUUUAUCAUGCUGUGGCUUUCUGUGUGGGAGUGGGUGUGAUGGAGGUUAUCCUAUACGUGCGUGGAGGUAUCUUGCCCAUAGUGGUGUAGUUACCGAGGAGUGUGAUCCUUACUUCGACAACACUGGUUGCUCUCAUCCAGGCUGUGAACCUGGUUUUCCAACACCGAGAUGUGUGAGACACUGUAAAGAUAAAAAUCGGGUUUGGAGGACGGAUAAACAUUACAGUGUAAAAGCUUACAGAGUGAAGUCUACCCCUAAUGAUAUCAUGGCAGAGGUUUACAAAAAUGGUCCCGUGGAAGUUGCGUUCACUGUUUAUGAGGAUUUUGCUCACUACAAGUCAGGAGUUUACAAGCACGUAACAGGGGAGUAUAUCGGAGGCCAUGCUGUUAAGCUCAUCGGAUGGGGAACUAGUGAGGAAGGAGAGGACUAUUGGCUUCUUGUGAAUUCUUGGAACAAAGGCUGGGGCAAUGAUGGGUACUUCAAGAUCAGAAGAGGAACAAAUGAGUGUGACAUUGAAUCUAAUGUAGUUGCAGGAUUGCCUUCAGCUAGAAAUCUAAAUGUGGAACUUGAUGAUGAUUUCCUUGAUACAUCAAUGUAAAAUGUCACUUCAUCAACAAGACUAAAUAAUACUACUACCAAAGUCUAUGCAGUUUAUGGAGUCGUUUGGUAGUAUACAUAAGAAUUAUAUUGAAUAUGAUGUAUUAAUAUUAGUUAUGAUUGUAUUGGUUAUGAUUUUAUCAUUAUUUCUAUACAACAAUACCAUCCACAAACAUGGUAUAAAUGACAUGGAAA